rnacentral:misc_RNA from 1 species
AAUCCUUCAAAAUGCUAUCUUUUUGUACUUGAAUCUUUCAACCACAGAAACAGGAUAAUCACCGCAACUGUUCAACGGCACAAUGUAUAGCUGAACUACAACCCUACAACACAGAAACGGCGUCGUUCGGUAUGCCCUUUCUCUGUCUUGUGCAUGACAUGGUUUUUUAAGAAAAGAAUGAACUUUGCGGUGGAGCUCCGACUACAAACUCCCGGGGACGGGAUUCUAACCCCGAGGAAAGUGAAGGAAGCCGAUUAUUCCGUACGACGUCGUCGGGCUCUGAAAAGAGUGGACAAAGAGCUGUCGAAAUCCGAUUUCAAGAGAGCUCUCUCCCUUGUCAAACAAUUGCAAGGCAAACCCUUUGGCCUCCGUGGCUUUGGCGCAGCCAAACAGGUACCCAGAAGUCGCCUGGUGUUGAAUCAAUUAGUAUUCAAUGGGAUAGAUUUAUCACCCCUUGGUCCAUUGGUUGAUUCGGUUAUGGAUUCAAUAGAUAAAUCUCUUCAUUUCCCUUUACCAGAUGGUGAACGCAGAGGUUCUAGCUGUGAAGAAGAUCAUUUCCUGUGUCUGCAACAUGAAGCUGGUCAUUUUCUGGUUGGCUACUUGCUUGGGGCUCUCCCAAAAAGAUAUACAGUACCAUCUGUUGAAGAACUGAGAGAUGGCAACUUUGAGGGAGGGAAAGUAGAGUUUCUGGGAUUUGAGUUUCUCAGAGAAGUUGGUGCUGCCCAGAUGCUAAGGAAAAAUAUUAUAAAUGAAGAAUCAUCCUGCUCGGGCAAUAGAGGCAAAAUUUCAUCCAAGACUUUAAACAACUUUUCUUGCAUAAUAUUAGGAGGCUUGGUGGUGGAGCACCUAGUAUUUGGGGAUUCUGAAGGUCAUUAUUCUGAUGUUGACAAGUUGGACAAAGCACUUAAAUGGUUGGGUUUCUCCAACAGCGAAGCAAACUUUCAAGUGAGAUGGGCUGCACUAAACACUGUCUUUGUAUUGUGUCGUCAUCAUAAAGCUAGAUUGAAACUGGUAGAAGCCAUGGCACAGCGGCAAUCAGUUGGCUUCUGUAUCGACGCAAUUGAGAAUGCUAUCGAUGGAAGACAAAUAUAAAUAGUGUAUCUACAUUCCUUUAAUGUUGCAUUCUCUUUUGUUGAGUUCUCCGAACAACAUUCUUUUCCAAUUCUAGCUUACCACGAUGGCAAUUCUUGACAUAUUGAUGAUAAUUCAACAAACAGGAAACAUGAAGCACCUUUGCGACUGAGGACCACAGAAAUUUAUUUUGCAGAUGCAGUCGCUAACAUAUUGUGGGAAGUGGUGAACUGUGAAGCGAUUCUUACUCCCUUCUCCGUCAUGGAAACGGGUGUAUUAACCACAUGCAUGUUAUUUCAAGCCACCAUGCAAAGAGAUCUAUCGAAGUAUGGUGAUCAUGCUGGAAUGUUGUUCUUUUGGAUGAUGAUAUGAAUCUCCACAUCAUAAUAAUGCUCAGCAACUGAAGCAUGUUAGGCAAAAAUGGGGCCCAAACUUCAAUUUCGUUAGCAACCAAUUAUGAGUCCAUAGCCAAUUACACCCAUUUAACCCCAAGACCCUAGUAUAUUUUAACAUUCUUGUUCACUGGGAAUAGAAAACAUGAGACCUGGUCUCCGUUAUUACAAUCCAGUGAGACAACAUGUUAAAAGCGUACAUUAUCCUCUGCAACACUCCCUCUGAAGAUAACUAGGUCUCAGUGUGUUCCCGGGCAAAAGAGACACAACUUAUAAUAAAGACAAAAGUUGAGGGCAUGCAAUCCAGUGUUAUUAAAGGCGCUCUAAGGUGCCGGGCGAGGCGCUAGGCUAGGCGAGGCGAGGCGACCCUCUAGUGCCUCGCCUGGCCUGGGUUGCAUGAGGCGACCGCCUAGGAGAGAGAGGCACAGGGCGUGAGGCGAGGGAGGCCACGCCUCUGUUACAUAAUGUUUUUUUUUUUUUUAAUUCAUUCUUUAAACUGCAAGAGUUAAAAACCCUAAAGAGGAGACUCUCAUUUCAACCCAUGACUCUGCGGAUGCUUGAAAAAGGGAAAGAAGAACAACCCAAGGAGUAAGGUAUGUCUCUCUCUCUCAUCCUUCCUCUCUUUCUCUCCUCUGCUUCUUCCUUCCUCUCUCUCCUCUCCUCUCUUCUUCAAUUCUUCCCUUCUCUCAAGUCUGUCGCAACACCCAUGUUUUUCUUCUUUUCUUUUUAACUUUUUUUUUCUCCUCUCCUCCUCCUUUUCUCUUCUUCUAUUCUUUCUUCUCUCACAGUCACGCCGUUUUUAAUCAAUCUGCAGCACUUAUUUUCCUGCGUUCUUUCUCCCUUUUUACUUUUUUUUUUCUUCUCUUCUCUCCUCCUUCUCUCUUCUUCUCUCUACUAUAUAGGACUAUGGGUAUUUAGUUUUGGCUGCUUAUUUUUAUGAGUAUUGUGAAUUUGUUUUCUAAAACAUGGUAAGUGUUCUUUUAUAUGCAUAAUUUGUUGUUUAAUUUAUAUGGGUAUUGUGAUAUGCAUUUUGUUAGAUGAGGAAUGUAAAUUUGUGAUAUGAUUUUUUUUAAGCUAAUAUAAUAACAAUUUUAUUUUAAUUCCUCCCUAAUUGUUUAGGCUACUUGCUGAAGAUAACCUGAUUUUGAUAAGAGUAAUAUGUUGCAACAAACUUACCAUUACAAAUAGCCUCUCACUUAAGGCCAUAGGAUACUUUGUCGCUUUCACCUCGAUAAUACUGCAUUGAAGUAAAACUCAAAUUUCAGCAAUUUAGAGUCAUUUUCAUCGCAAAUGGACAUAAAAAACAGAACCAGCACGUCCAAAUUAGCAAAGGAGGACACUAUCAGCUUUGCUGACUGGGAUGCUGUUGUGGCAGUGACUGAUGACAUGGCAAAUGGUGUGGCGCUUGUGUGGCUGAUGUUAUUGAAUGAUGCGGCGCUGACGUGGAUCGAUGAUAUGCCAAAGAGAAUAAUGCAGUUCUGUUGCCUGUAGGCUCACAAUAAAGCUAGGUAAGCUCAGUUGUUACAGAAAUGGGUCAAUGACCCGACCCGUCAGGUUAUGGCAGCUGCGGGUGUCAGAAGGCAGUAAGAGAGCAGGCAGCAGGAAGCGACGCCCGGGAAGGUCCGAAUGACAAAUAUAGUUACUCUCAGGAGGGUAACUUUUCUGGUUUGGAUUGACCUGAACGAAUCUAAAGAUCCACCGAGUUUCAAGUGACCGGACAGGCACCAUUGAACUCAUUUCAAGCCAACGAGGGGAUUUGCAGUGGCAGAAGGGACGUUAGGAGGCAAGACAAUCGUGCGGGUGAAGGGGCAGUGGUAUCGCUGGGUUGCUCUAUUUCUCGAAGCUUUC